rnacentral:rRNA from 1 species
ACACUCCUACGGGAGGCAGCAGUGGGGAAUUUUCCGCAAUGGGCGAAAGCCUGACGGAGCAAUACCGCGUGAGGGAGGAAGGCUCUUGGGUUGUAAACCUCUUUUCUCAGGGAAGAACAAAAUGACGGUACCUGAGGAAUAAGCAUCGGCUAACUCCGUGCCAGCAGCCGCGGUAAUACGGAGGAUGCAAGCGUUAUCCGGAAUUAUUGGGCGUAAAGCGUCCGCAGGUGGCAAUUCAAGUCUGCUGUCAAAGGUUCUGGCUCAACCAGAAACAGGCAGUGGAAACUGAACAGCUAGAGUGCGGUAGGGGCAGAGGGAAUUCCCAGUGUAGCGGUGAAAUGCGUAGAGAUUGGGAAGAACACCGGUGGCGAAAGCGCUCUGCUAGACCGUAACUGACACUCAUGGACGAAAGCUAGGGGAGCGAAUGGGAUUAGAUACCCCAGUAGUCC